rnacentral:rRNA from 1 species
AACGAACGCUGGCGGCAUGCCUAACACAUGCAAGUCGAACGAGACCUUCGGGUCUAGUGGCGCACGGGUGCGUAACACGUGGGAAUUUGCCUCGGGGUAUGGAAUAACUCAGGGAAACUUGAGCUAAUACCAUAUAAUGUCUUCGGACCAAAGAUUUAUCGCCCUGAGAUAAGCCCGCGUAGGAUUAGCUAGUUGGUGGGUAAAGGCUUACCAAGGCGACGAUCAGUAUCUGGUUUGAGAGGAUGAUCAGACACACUGGAACUGAGACACGGUCCAGACUCCUACGGGAGGCAGCAGUGGGGAAUUUUCCGCAAUGGGCGAAAG